ensembl:misc_RNA 7SK 7SK RNA
GGAUGUGAGGGCGAUCUGGCUGCGACAUCUGUCACCCCAUUGAUUGCCAGGGUUGAUUUGGCUGAUCUGGCUGGCUAGGCGGGUGUCCCCUUCCUCCCGCACUGCUUUAUGUGCGUCCCUCCCAAAGCUGCGCGCUAGGUCCAAGAGGACGACCAUCCCCGAUAGAGGAGGACCGGUCUUCAGUCAAGAGAAGUAGCUGCGCUCCCCUGCUAGAACCUCCUAACAAGCUCUCAAAUGUUGAUAGAUCUUAUCUGUGUUAUUUAAAAAUCAAAUGGUUAUAAAUAUAGUAAAAUAAUAGAGGUAGACUAUAUGUCCUUA